rnacentral:rRNA from 1 species
GAAUGCUGGCGGCAGGCCUAACACAUGCAAGUCGAGCGGUAGAGAGAAGCUUGCUUCUCUUGAGAGCGGCGGACGGGUGAGUAAUGCCUAGGAAUCUGCCUAGUGGUGGGGGAUAACGUUCGGAAACGGACGCUAAUACCGCAUACGUCCUACGGGAGAAAGCGGGGGAUCUUCGGACCUCGCGCCAUUAGAUGAGCCUAGGUCGGAUUAGCUAGUUGGUGAGGUAAUGGCUCACCAAGGCGACGAUCCGUAACUGGUCUGAGAGGAUGAUCAGUCACACUGGAACUGAGACACGGUCCAGACUCCUACGGGAGGCAGCAGUGGGGAAUAUUGGACAAUGGGCGAAAGCCUGAUCCAGCCAUGCCGCGUGUGUGAAGAAGGUCUUCGGAUUGUAAAGCACUUUAAGUUGGGAGGAAGGGCAGUAACCUAAUACGUUAUUGUUUUGACGUUACCGACAGAAUAAGCACCGGCUAACUUCGUG